UGGGGAAUAUUGGACAAUGGGCGCAAGCCUGAUCCAGCCAUGCCGCGUGCAGGAAGAAGGCGUUAUGCGUUGUAAACUGCUUUUGCCAGGGGAUAAAAAGACCGUGCGCGGUUAAUUGAAGGUACCUGGUGAAUAAGCCACGGCUAACUACGUGCCAGCAGCCGCGGUAAUACGUAGGUGGCAAGCGUUGUCCGGAUUUAUUGGGUUUAAAGGGUGCGUAGGUGGCCCUGUAAGUCAGUGGUGAAAUAUCUCAGCUUAACUGAGAGGGUGCCAUUGAUACUGCAGGGCUUGAGUACAGAUGAGGUAGGCGGAAUUGGCGGUGUAGCGGUGAAAUGCAUAGAUAUCGUCAAGAACACCGAUAGCGAAGGCAGCUUACCAAGCUGUAACUGACACUGAGGCACGAAAGUGUGGGGAUCAAACAGGAUUAGAUACCCCCGUAGUCCCUGAGCGGGCUGGCAAGGCGCAU
rnacentral:rRNA from 1 species